rnacentral:rRNA from 1 species
GUGCCAGCCACCGCGGUUAUACGAGUUGGCCCAAGUUGACAGACAACGGCGUAAAGAGUGGUUAAGGAAAAUAAAAACUAAAGCCGAACACCUUCAAAGCUGUCAUACGCUCCCGAAGAUAUGAAGCCCAACCACGAAAGUGACUUUACAUAACCUGAACCCACGAAAGCUAAGAAACAAACUGGGAUUAGAUACCCCACUAUG